AAAAUUAGAGUGUUCAAAGCAGGCAGAUCCAAUUUUCUGCCACCGAAUACAUUAGCAUGGGAUAAUGGAAUAGGACCCUGUCCUCCUAUUUUCAGUUGGUUUUGGCAGCGCGAGGACUAGGGUAAUGAUUAAUAGGGAUAGUUGGGGGCAUUAAUAUUUAAUUGUCAGAGGUGAAAUUCUUGGAUUUAUGAAAGAUUAACUUCUGCGAAAGCAUCUGCCAAGGAUGUUUUCAUUAAUCAAGAACGAAAGUUAGGGGAUCGAAGACGAUCAGAUACCGUCGUAGUCUUAACCAUAAACGAUGCCGACCAGCGAUUAGGAGACGUUGAAUACAAAACACCACCAUCGGUGCGGUCGUCCUUGGCGUCGGUCUUUCGGGGCCGGCGCGGGGACGGCUUAGCCCGGUGGCACCGGUGAA
rnacentral:rRNA from 6 species